rnacentral:tRNA from 1 species
AGCAGCGUGGCUCAGUGGAAAGAGCCCGGGCUUGGGAGUCAGAGGCCAUGGGUUCGAAUCCCAGCUCUGCCA